GGCCCCGCACAAGCGGUGGAGCAUGUGGUUUAAUUCGAUGCAACGCGAAGAACCUUACCAGGGUUUGACAUCCUGCGAAUCUCUUGGAAACUUGAGAGUGCCUUCGGGAACGCAGUGACAGGUGGUGCAUGGCUGUCGUCAGCUCGUGUCGUGAGAUGUUGGGUUAAGUCCCGCAACGAGCGCAACCCACGUCUUUAGUUGCCAGCAUUUAGUUGGGGCACUCUAGAGAGACUGCCGGUGAUAAACCGGAGGAAGGUGUGGAUGACGUCAAGUCAUCAUGCCCCUUACAUCCUGGGCUACACACGUGCUACAAUGGCCAGUACAGAGGGCUGCAAUCCCGUGAGGGGAGC
rnacentral:rRNA from 1 species